CCGUGCUAGACGGGGAGGUAGCGGUGCCCUGUAACUCGCAAUCCGCUGUAGCGAGGUUGAAUUCCUGUUAGAGGUUUUGCCGAUGUGAGGUCUUGGUCCCUGCGUGCUAUGUUGACGGUUGGGUCCUCCGCAAUGAGUACUUGUGAACCUGGUCAGGUCCGGAAGGAAGCAGCCAUAAGCAAGUUCACUCUUGUGCCGGAGGAUUGCCUAGCCCGAGUAGCGUCGCAGGGCUGCCGCUUGGAUCGCAAUUAUCAAUAACAGGUGUGCGG
rfam:Paenibacillus pini JCM 16418 DNA, contig: contig00024.